UACAGAGGGUGCAAGCGUUGUUCGGAAUUAUUGGGCGUAAAGCGCGUGUAGGCGGCUUUGCAAGUCUGGUGUGAAAGCCCUCGGCUCAACCGAGGAAGUGCGCCCGAAACUGCAGAGCUUGAGUACCGGAGAGGAUGGCGGAAUUCCCCAAGUAGAGGUGAAAUUCGUAGAUAUGGGGAGGAACACCGGUGGCGAAGGCGGCCAUCUGGACGGAUACUGACGCUGAGACGCGAAAGCGUGGGGAGCAAACGGG
rnacentral:rRNA from 1 species